rnacentral:lncRNA from 1 species
CUUUUUCUCUUUUAUACCCGUUUGAUGGUGACAGAAAUUGAAAACUUUACUACAGCCUAAGAUUACUGAAUACUGAACACAAACAAACAUACAUACGUAUUCUCAAAACACAAAAGCUAACAUUAUUUUGCAGGAAGACAGGUCUCCAGAUAGCGCUGGCUAACCCAGCUCUCCCCACCCUGCCUAUUGCAGCUCUCAGAAUAAUUGUAGAAUAAGUCAAUAAUGAAAUGUCCUGAGAUAAAGAGGAAAUGUCUGGAACAUUCCAGGCUAUGUCCUUUUUCUUCCUAGAACAGGAUGUCCUACAAUGCUUGUGCUCCGUGCAAGGUUGUGCCAAGGUUAUAAAACCCAGGGCAGAGUGCCUCUAGUGUCCUCCAGCUACAAUGUGAAGUGGGGCAUUCGCAGACAAGACACUUCUCACCCCGGGCAGCCUUCCUGAGACUUGGGGGACAAGCUUGCCAUGGACUUUAGGUGAUUGGGAGGAAGGCCUGAGAGGAACACAGGUCUUCUCUAUCUCACUUCAACAAACAGUGAAGAAGGAGUGUGGUAGAGGAGAGAAGAAAACAAAAGGAUGACAGAGCUAAGAAGGACAGAAAUGAAAAGAGCAUUCGUUCAGUCUGUUCUCUCAUUAUCGUACCUCGGAACCUUGGAAGAUUCUUUUUUGAGAAUUCUUUUCAUUAUGAUGCUAGGAAAAUGAUAGACUGGAAAAGCCAGAAAUUCUGAAAUUCUAUAAAACAUGAUCUCAUCAAUAAUGUAUACCUUCCCUACAACUUGCAGAAAAUAACAUAUUAAAAUGUCCAAUUUUAAAGAGGAAACAAGGCUGUGUGCUGUAAUAUUUUUCAUCCAAUAUCAAUGCUCUUGCGCAUACAUAAUGUGUUCCAGUGAUUUCUACAGUUUCUCCCCUGACUGGCUCCCUGACUUG